rnacentral:rRNA from 1 species
UACGUAGGGCGCGAGCGUUGUCCGGAAUUAUUGGGCGUAAAGAGCUCGUAGGCGGCCUGUCGCGUCGGUUGUGAAAGCCCGGGGCUCAACCCCGGGUCUGCAGUCGAUACGGGCAGGCUAGAGUUCGGUAGGGGAGAUCGGAAUUCCUGGUGUAGCGGUGAAAUGCGCAGAUAUCAGGAGGAACACCGGUGGCGAAGGCGGAUCUCUGGGCCGAGACUGACGCUGAGGAGCGAAAGCGUGGGGAGCGAACAGG